GGAAAGUGAGGAGCGUCUCUGCCCAGCCGCCAUCCCAUCUAGGAAGUGAGGAGCGCCUCUUCCCGGCCGCCAUCACAUCUAGGAAGUGCGGAGCCUCUCUGCCCGGCCACCCAUCGUCUGAGAUGUGGGGAGCGCCUCUGCCCUGUCGCCCCGUCCGGGAUGUGAGGAGCGUCUCUCCCUGGCCGCCCCGUCUGAGAAGUCUAUGUAUUCCUGUGCUUACCUUGUGCGUGCGUGAUGCAUGGAUGUUGCUGCUAGGGGACAUUCAUAUGGACCUAAGUGUCAAGAACACUGGGAGCCAAUAGAUCCAUUUGGACCCAUUUUGGGGACUAAAUGCAGGUUUCAUACCUCAAGCCUCUACAAGAAGAUAAGAAACCCCCACAAAGAAACACUGAGCGCAUGCCCAGUAAGUCCAGUUCUGGUGAUCAUGGCUCUGUCUGCUUAUUCUGAGGUGCAGGUGGUUAUGGAGAUGGGAGAGAAGCUGAACUGGGAUGAAUCUGGGGAAAACUCUGCAAUGUAGAGAAGUUCACCAGCUGCGUAAAUGUUUGUAAAAGUUUCCUCGUUUGAAUUGAGUUAGAGGUACAUUGUCUAUCACUGGCAGUAGUAGUUGUCUAAAGUUGCCUAAGGUUCUGAAAAUUGGGGCUGUUUCUGCCUUCCCCAAUAAUCCAGGACCUCAGGGAGAACACAGCUACCUAGAGCAUCGUGGGGAGGAAAACCCAGUGCUGGCUUCUGCAAUUGGAGGAUGAAUAGAAACUUCCUUACUCUGAGCCCAGACUAAGAGAAAGUGAGAUAAACAUUAAGUAGUGUCUUGGCAGUGAGGAGUGAGGAACAUCUGCUCUCGGGAUGUUGACAUUUCUUUAAGGGCUAGAUAGCAGAAACUGGCCAACGUCCAACAUGCAGGAACCUUGAUGCUCCCAACGCUGAUUUCUAAGGUCGAAAGCAUGGCGUGUGCCACACCCAAGGACGCUCAAGACAGGAGCUCCCAUUGCAGUCCUCUACAGCUUUGUUCCCAGGGUUCUUUAGCAGAGUUGAUGCCUUGGAGGAGCCGCGGAAGUUCAUCUACCUGUGUGCUGGAGCCCAGGAAGGCCCAGCGCAUUGGCUGUUUGUGACAUGUUCCCUUUCCAGGACGGUGCCUCCCAGUGCCCCCAUACCCACGAGGAUGCAAGAGUUUGCAGAGCAGCUUCUCAGAGAGGCGCACGGACCCUGGAAGUACUAGCUCAGUUUCCAGCAUAGGGUCUGCUGGGAAAGGACGAUAACAACCUAGAAAAGAAGUUAGGGUCUCCUUCCAGCUGCUAGGUCCAUGGUCACCGCAAAAUACAAAAUGCUAGACUCUGAUGUUAUUUGGAAGGAAGCGAGAAAAACACAAAUGUCUAAUUCUUUGUGCUGUCCUUUUUUUUCUCUUUGAGCACCUCUAAAAGCCUUCCGC
rnacentral:lncRNA from 10 species